AGUGAACGCUGGCGGUAGGCCUAACACAUGCAAGUCGAACGGCAGCACAGGAGAGCUUGCUCUCUGGGUGGCGAGUGGCGGACGGGUGAGGAAUACAUCGGAAUCUACUCUGUCGUGGGGGAUAACGUAGGGAAACUUACGCUAAUACCGCAUACGACCUACGGGUGAAAGCAGGGGACCUUCAGGCCUUGCGCGAUUGAAUGAGCCGAUGUCGGAUUAGCUAGUUGGCGGGGUAAAGGCCCACCAAGGCGACGAUCCGUAGCUGGUCUGAGCGGAUGAUAAGCCACACUGGAACUGAGACACGGUCCAGACUCCUACGGGAGGCAGCAGUGGGGAAGAUUGGACAAUGGGCGCAAGCCUGAUCCAGCCAUACCGCGUGGGUGAAGAAGGCCUUCGGGUUGUAAAGCCCUUUUGUUGGGAAAGAAAUCCAGCUGGCUAAUACCCGGUUGGGAUGACGGUACCCAAAGAAUAAGCACCGGCUAACUUCGUGCCAGCCGCCGCGGUAA
rnacentral:rRNA from 1 species